GACGAACGCUGGCGGCGUGCUUAACACAUGCCAGUCGAACGGAAAGGCCCUGCUUGCAGGGUACUCGAGUGGCGAACGGGUGAGUAACACGUGGGUGCUCUGCCCUGCACUUCGGGAUAAGCCUGGAAAACUGGGUCUAAUACCGGAUAGGAGCCAUUUUUAGUGUGAUGGUUGGAAAGUUUUUUCGGUGUAGGAUGAGCUGGCGGCCUAUAAGCUUGUUGGUGGGGUAAUGGCCUACCAAGGCGGCGACGGGUAGCCGGCCUGAGAGGGUGGGCGGCCACCUUGGGACCGAGGGGCGGCCCAGACGGCUAAGGGAGGCAGAAGGGGGGAAUAUUGCACAAUGGGCGCAAGCCUGGUGCAGCGACGCCUCGGGGGGGAUGACGGUCUUCGGGUUGUAAAAUCCUUUCGCGAGGGACGAAGCUUUUUGUGACGGUACCUAGAGAAGAAGCACCGGCUAACUACGUG
rnacentral:rRNA from 1 species